CCUACGGGAGGCAGCAGUGAGGAAUAUUGGUCAAUGGGCGAGAUCCUGAACCAGCCAAGCCGCGUGAGGGAAGACGGCCCAAUGGGUUGUAAACCUCUUUUGUCGGAGAACAAAACGCGGGACGUGUCCCGGACUGCGUGUAUCCGAAGAAAAAGCAUCGGCUAACUCCGUGCCAGCAGCCGCGGUAAUACGGAGGAUGCGAGCGUUAUCCGGCUUUAUUGGGUUUAAAGGGUGCGUAGGCGGUCCGUUAAGUCAGCGGUGAAAUUGCGGGGCUCAACCCUGCCGAGCCGUUGAAACUGGGGGACUUGAGUUGGGGAGAGGCACGCGGAAUGCGCGGGGUAGCGGUGAAAUGCAUAGAUAUCGCGCAGAACCCCGAUUGCGAAGGCAGCGUACCGGCGCCCGACUGACGCUGAGGCACGAAAGCGUGGGGAUCGAACAGGAUUAGAUACCCUGGUAGUC
rnacentral:rRNA from 1 species